CUUAAGCAUAUCAAUAAGCGGAGGAAAAGAAACCCACAGGGAUUGCCCUAGUAACGGCGAGUGAAGCGGCAACAGCUCAAAUUUGAAAUCUGUCCCCCUUGGGGGUCCGAGUUGUAAUUUGUAGAGGGUGCUUUGGCGUUGGCCCUGGCCUAAGUUCCUUGGAACAGGACGUCACAGAGGGUGAGAACCCCGUACGUGGCCGCCGGUCUUCGCCGUGUAAAGCCCCUUCGACGAGUCGAGUUGUUUGGGAAUGCAGCUCUAAAUGGGAGGUAAAUUUCUUCUAAAGCUAAAUAUUGGCCAGAGACCGAUAGCGCACAAGUAGAGUGAUCGAAAGAUGAAAAGCACUUUGGAAAGAGAGUCAAAAAGCACGUGAAAUUGUUGAAAGGGAAGCGCUUGCAGCCAGACUUGCCUGUAGUUGCUCAUCCGGGCUUUUGCCCGGUGCACUCUUCUGCGGGCAGGCCAGCAUCAGUCCAGGCGGUCGGAUAAAGGCCUUGGGAAUGUGGCUCCCUUCGGGGAGUGUUAUAGCCCAGGGCGUAAUGCGGCCAGCUUGGACUGAGGUCCGCGCAUCUGCUAGGAUGCUGGCGUAAUGGCUGUAAGCGGCCCGUCUUGAAACACGGACCAAGGAGUCUAACAUCUAUGCGAGUGUUUGGGUGUCAAGCCCGAGCGCGCAAUGAAAGUGAACGGAGGUGGGAACCCCUCGGGGCGCACCAUCGACCGAUCCUGAUGUCUUCGGAUGGAUUUGAGUAAGAGCAUAGCUGUUGGGACCCGAAAGAUGGUGAACUAUGCCUGAAUAGGGUGAAGCCAGAGGAAACUCUGGUGGAGGCUCGCAGCGGUUCUGACGUGCAAAUCGAUCGUCAAAUUUGGGCAUAGGGGCGAAAGACUAAUCGAACUAUCUAGUAGCUGGUUCCUGCCGAAGUUUCCCUCAGGAUAGCAGUAACGUUUUCAGUUUUAUGAGGUAAAGCGAAUGAUUAGAGGCCUGGGGGUUGAAACAACCUUCACCUAUUCUCAAACUUUAAAUAUGUAAGAAGUCCUUGUUACUUAAUUGAACGUGGACAUUUGAAUGUACCGUUACUAGUGGGCCAUUUUUGGUAAGCAGAACUGGCGAUGCGGGAUGAACCGAACGCGGGGUUAAGGUGCCAGAAUGCACGCUCAUCAGACACCACAAAAGGUGUUAGUUCAUCUAGACAGCAGGACGGUGGCCAUGGAAGUCGGAAUCCGCUAAGGAGUGUGUAACAACUCACCUGCCGAAUGAACUAGCCCUGAAAAUGGAUGGCGCUCAAGCGUGCUACCCAUACCCCGCCGCCAGGGCAGAAUUUAUGCCUGGCGAGUAGGCAGGCGUGGAGGC
rnacentral:rRNA from 1 species